GCUAACCCGUAAGGGAGGUAGACCCUUAACGGUCGAGACCAGUGAUUGGGGUG
rnacentral:rRNA from 1 species